GCUAUAAGAUGGGCCCGCGGCGCAUUAGCUAGUUGGUGAGGUAACGGCUCACCAAGGCGACGAUGCGUAGCCGACCUGAGAGGGUGAUCGGCCACACUGGGACUGAGACACGGCCCAGACUCCUACGGGAGGCAGCAGUAGGGAAUCUUCCACAAUGGGCGAAAGCCUGAUGGAGCAACGCCGCGUGAGUGAAGAAGGUUUUCGGAUCGUAAAACUCUGUUGUAAGGGAAGAACAAGUACUAUUGACGGUACCUUAUUAGAAAGCCACGGCUAACUACGUGCCAGCAGCCGCGGUAAUACGUAGGUGGCAAGCGUUGUCCGGAAUUAUUGGGCGUAAAGCGCGCGCAGGCGGUCCUUUAAGUCUGAUGUGAAAGCCCACGGCUCAACCGUGGAGGGUCAUUGGAAACUGGGGGACUUGAGUGCAGAAGAGGAAAGUGGAAUUCAUGUAGCGGUGAAAUGCGUAGAGAU
rnacentral:rRNA from 1 species